UACGGAGGGAGCUAGCGUUGUUCGGAAUUACUGGGCGUAAAGCGCACGUAGGCGGCUUUGUAAGUUAGAGGUGAAAGCCCGGGGCUCAACCCCGGAAUUGCCUUUAAGACUGCAUCGCUUGAAUCCGGGAGAGGUGAGUGGAAUUCCGAGUGUAGAGGUGAAAUUCGUAGAUAUUCGGAAGAACACCAGUGGCGAAGGCGACUCGCUGGACAAGUAUUGACGCUGAGGUGCGAAAGCGUGGGGAGCAAACAGG
rnacentral:rRNA from 1 species